rnacentral:rRNA from 1 species
CCUACGGGAGGCAGCAGUGGGGAAUAUUGGACAAUGGGGGGAACCCUGAUCCAGCCAUGCCGCGUGUGUGAAGAAGGCCCUCGGGUUGUAAAGCACUUUCAGUGAGGAAGAACGCCUGGUGGUGAAUACCCAUCAGGAAAGACAUCACUCACAGAAGAAGCACCGGCUAACUCCGUGCCAGCAGCCGCGGUAAUACGGAGGGUGCGAGCGUUAAUCGGAAUUACUGGGCGUAAAGCGCGCGUAGGUGGCUUGAUAAGCCGGUUGUGAAAGCCCCGGGCUCAACCUGGGAACGGCAUCCGGAACUGUCAAGCUAGAGUGCAGGAGAGGAAGGUAGAAUUCCCGGUGUAGCGGUGAAAUGCGUAGAGAUCGGGAGGAAUACCAGUGGCGAAGGCGGCCUUCUGGACUGACACUGACACUGAGGUGCGAAAGCGUGGGUAGCAAACAGGAUUAGAUACCCGAGUAGUC